CGGCAACAGCUCAAAUUUAAAAUCUGGCCUCUUCGGGGCCCGAGUUGUAAUUUGAAGAGGAUGCUUUUGGUGAGGUGCCUUCUGAGUUCCCUGGAACGGGACGCCAGAGAGGGUGAGAGCCCCGUAUAGUUGGACACCAAGCCUCUGUAAAGCUCCUUCGAC
rnacentral:rRNA from 1 species